UACGUAGGCAGCRAGCGUUGUUCGGAAUUACUGGGCGUAAAGAGUGUGUAGGCGGUGUUCCMAGUCUGUUGUGAAAUCUCCCGGCUUAACUGGGAGGGUGCRGCGGAAACURGRAUGCUAGAGGRUGGGAGAGGUAAGCGGAAUUCCUGGUGUAGCGGUGAAAUGCGUAGAUAUCAGGAGGAACACCUGUGGUGUAGACAGCUUACUGGACCAYUUCUGACGCUGAGACACGAAAGCGUGGGUAGCAAACAGGAUUAGAUACCCUGGUAGUCCACGCCCUAAACGAUGCAUACUUGGUGUGAGCGAUUCAUUUCGUUCGUGCCGGAGCUAACGCGUUAAGUAUGCCGCCUGGGGAGUACGGUCGCAAGGCUGAAACUCAAAG
rnacentral:rRNA from 1 species